CCCCCACUCCCCACCCCAAACUAACCAUCACCUCACCAGGGGACAGGCUGACCCUACCAGGAUGUAGAUUGAUGAAGGCUCAGGAUUAUCUUGCUUAGUGUCAGAAUGCAGAGCUGGAUUCCAUCCCAGUACUUGUGACUCAGGUCAGGACUUUUUCCUCUGCCUCAAGCAGCAUGGCUCACCAUUAGACUUCAUUCUGCACCAAAUAUGGAAUCAUUCACGGUUAGCAAUAUGCGUGGGGACUUACUGGGAACCACAGGAAUUCAUAGAGGUCUUGAAUCACCAUAGGGUUUCCCACACUGGUAUGCUUGCUGCUUCACUCUUGAUGUCUACCUGAUAAACCACUGAUGUUUUGUUUCUUUGAAAAUCUCUUCAGAGAAAUUAUGGCAAAGAUGCCUUUUUAGAGGUUUUUUUUUUCACUUUGCACAGGUGAUAAAUCCAAAUUCCCCCUCCCCCAGUUAGAAGACUACUUCUAAAAUAAAAAUGCACCAUCCAGAAUCACGGAUUACCAUGUGGAGGUCUUGAAAUAAAUUUCAACCCCAAAAUAAUCCUUUUUGUAUCCCCAGUGCCUACCACAGUCCCUGAUACAUUGUAGCCUUCCAAUAAAUGUUACUUUCCUUGUA